AGUUACAAAUAUCGUGAUGGGAUUGAAAGGUGUCCUUGCCAUCCGGUGUUUGUGGUUGG
rnacentral:pre_miRNA from 1 species